rnacentral:rRNA from 1 species
CUACAGGGGUAUCUAAUCCCGUUUGCUCCCCACGCUUUCGCGCCUCAGCGUCAGGAGUUGCCCAGAGACCCGCCUUCGCCACCGGUGUUCCUCCCGAUCUCUACACAUUUCACCGCUACACCGGGAAUUCCAGUCUCCUCUGCAACCCUCAAGAACGGCAGUAUCGAUCGACGCUCCUCGGUUGAGCCGAGGGAUUUCACGACCGACUUGCCAUCCCGCCUACGCGCCCUUUACGCCCAGUAAUUCCGAGCAACGCUUGCCCCCUCUGUCUUACCGCGGCUGCUGGCAC